rnacentral:rRNA from 1 species
GGGUUGUGAGGUUAAGCGACCAAGCGUACACGGUGGAUGCCCGGCAGUCAGAGGCGAUGAAGGACGUGCUAAUCUGCGAAAAGCGCCGGUAAGGUGAUAUGAACCGUUAUAACCGGCGAUGUCCGAAUGGGGAAACCCAGUGUGACUCGUCACACUAUCAUUAACUGAAUCCAUAGGUUAAUGAGGGCGAACCGGGGGAACUGGAAACAUCUAAGUACCCCGAGGAAAAGAAAUCAACCGAGAUUCCCCCAGUAGCGGCGAGCGAACGGGGAGGAGCCCAGAGCCAGAAUCAGCUUGUGUGUUAGUGGAAGCGUCUGGAAAGUCGCGCGAUACAGGGGUGACAGCCCCGUACACAAAAAUGCACAGGUUGUGAGCUCGAUGAGUAGGGCGGGACACGUGGUAUCCUGUCUGAAUAUGGGGGACCAUCCUCCAAGGCUAAAUACUCCUGACUGACCGAUAGUGAACCAGUACCGUGAGGGAAAGGCGAAAAGAACCCCGGCGAGGGGGAGUGAAAAAGAACCUGAAACCGUGUACGUACAAGCAGUGGGAGCACCCUGUGGGGUGUGACUGCGUACCUUUGUAUAAUGGGUCAGCGACUUAUAUUCUGUAGCAAGGUUAACCGAAUAGGGGAGCCGAAGGGAAACCGAGUCUUAACUGGGCGUUAAGUUGCAGGGUAUAGACCCGAAACCCGGUGAUCUAGCCAUGGGCAGGUUGAAGGUUGGGUAACACUAACUGGAGGACCGAACCGACUAAUGUUGAAAAAUUAGCGGAUGACUUGUGGCUGGGGGUGAAAGGCCAAUCAAACCGGGAGAUAGCUGGUUCUCCCCCGAAAGCUAUUUAGGUAGCGCCUCGUGAAUUCAUCUCCGGGGUAGAGCACUGUUUCGGCUAGGGGCCAUCCCGGCUUACCAACCCGAUGCAAACUGCGAAUACCGGAGAAUGUUAUCACGGGAGACACACGGCGGGUGCUAACGUCCGUCGUGAAGAGGGAAACAACCCAGACCGCCAGCUAAGGUCCCAAAGUCAUGGUUAAGUGGGAAACGAUGUGGGAAGGCCCAGACAGCCGAGGAUGUUGGCUUAGAAGCAGCCAUCAUUUAAAGAAAGCGUAAUAGCUCACUGGUCGAGUCGGCCUGCGCGGAAGAUGUAACGGGGCUAAACCAUGCACCGAAGCUGCGGCAGCGACACUAUGUGUUGUUGGGUAGGGGAGCGUUCUGUAAGCCUGCGAAGGUGUGCUGUGAGGCAUGCUGGAGGUAUCAGAAGUGCGAAUGCUGACAUAAGUAACGAUAAAGCGGGUGAAAAGCCCGCUCGCCGGAAGACCAAGGGUUCCUGUCCAACGUUAAUCGGGGCAGGGUGAGUCGACCCCUAAGGCGAGGCCGAAAGGCGUAGUCGAUGGGAAACAGGUUAAUAUUCCUGUACUUGGUGUUACUGCGAAGGGGGGGACGGAGAAGGCUAUGUCAUCCGGGCGACGGUUGUCCCGGUUUAAGCGUGCAGGUGUGUGCUCCGGGGCAAAUCCGGAACACUUUAACACUGAGGCGUGAUGACGAGGCACUACGGUGCUGAAGUGACAAAUGCCCUGCUUCCGGAGGAAAAGCCUCUAAGCAUCAGGUAACACGAAAUCGUACCCCAAACCGACACAGGUGGUCAGGUAGAGAAUACCAAGGCGCUUGAGAGAACUCGGGUGAAGGAACUAGGCAAAAUGGUGCCGUAACUUCGGGAGAAGGCACGCUGAUACGUAGGUGAAGCGGUUUACCCGUGGAGCUGAAAUCAGUCGAAGAUACCAGCUGGCUGCAACUGUUUAUUAAAAACACAGCACUGUGCAAACACGAAAGUGGACGUAUACGGUGUGACGCCUGCCCGGUGCCGGAAGGUUAAUUGAUGGGGUUAUCCGUAAGGAGAAGCUCUUGAUCGAAGCCCCGGUAAACGGCGGCCGUAACUAUAACGGUCCUAAGGUAGCGAAAUUCCUUGUCGGGUAAGUUCCGACCUGCACGAAUGGCGUAAUGAUGGCCGGGGCUGUCUCCACCCGAGACUCAGUGAAAUUGAACUCGCUGUGAAGAUGCAGUGUACCCGCGGCAAGACGGAAAGACCCCGUGAACCUUUACUAUAGCUUGACACUGAACAUUGAGCCUUGAUGUGUAGGAUAGGUGGGAGGCUUUGGAAGCGUGGACGCCAGUCUGCGUGGAGCCAACCUUGAAAUACCACCCUUUAAUGUUUGAUGUUCUAACGUGGACCCGUAACCCGGGUUGCGGACAGUGUCUGGUGGGUAGUUUGACUGGGGCGGUCUCCUCCUAAAGCGUAACGGAGGAGCACGAAGGUCAGCUAAUCCCUGGUCGGACAUCAGGAGGUUAGUGCAAUGGCAUAAGCUGGCUUGACUGCGAGCGUGACGGCGCGAGCAGGUGCGAAAGCAGGUCAUAGUGAUCCGGUGGUUCUGAAUGGAAGGGCCAUCGCUCAACGGAUAAAAGGUACUCCGGGGAUAACAGGCUGAUACCGCCCAAGAGUUCAUAUCGACGGCGGUGUUUGGCACCUCGAUGUCGGCUCAUCACAUCCCCGGGGCUGAAGUAGGUCCCAAGGGUAUGGCUGUUCGCCAUUUAAAGUGGUACGCGAGCUGGGUUUAGAACGUCGUGAGACAGUUCGGUCCCUAUCUGCCGUGGGCGCUGGAGAAUUGAGGGGGGCUGCUCCUAGUACGAGAGGACCGGAGUGGACGCAUCACUGGUGUUCGGGUUGUCAUGCCAAUGGCACUGCCCGGUAGCUAAAUGCGGAAGAGAUAAGUGCUGAAAGCAUCUAAGCACGAAACUUGCCCCGAGGAUGAGUUCUCCCUGAGACCUUGAGUCUCCUGGAAGGAACGUUGAAGACGACGACGUUGAUAGGCCGGGUGUGUAAGCGCAGCGAUGCGUUGAGCUAACCGGUACUAAUGAACCGUGAGGCUUAACCUUACAACGCCGAAG